CUGCAACUUGGUCCCCAAAGCGGCCAGUGCGCCUGUGAGUCGGGAGACCUCCUCGGUGAGGCGGGAGAUCUCCCCCUCAAGCUGGGCCUCUCGAUCGACCGACUGCUGCAGUUGGUCGACCAGUAUGACUUUAUCAACCUCGGCAGCCAUGGCCUUAUCCUUCCAGGCCACGCGCAGAUCGCCGAACCUUCGAUAUCCGGCCUCCAGCUCGGAUAUGUUAUAAAUCAGCUGCAAAAAACAAAGCCGACCGUCAGAAGACCGAACUUAUGAAAAACGAUAACGAAAGCGGAA
rnacentral:lncRNA from 1 species